GUUAAAAUCUGGUCACCUUACCCAAAUCCCAAAUCCUGGCUGGUCCCUCCUACCCCACCCCGCUCCUCCCAGGAGUCCCCACACGGCCCAUUUUGGAUGCAGGGACAGAUUUCUGGAUUACAGAACGGAGAGGAGAGGUUACCAUAGUCACACCGCUCACCACAAAAUCUGAUGGGCCUGGAAGCUGGGCACCAAAAUCAUCAUCUGGAAAGCACAAAGAAAUUGGCUGGCUUUUUUCAGGCUGGCUGUCAACACCUUCAAGCACUUUUUCGGGUUCUUUCUCUUUUUCACGAACGCCUGUUUUGUAGAAACAAAGAUGACAGAUGCCAAAAAUAAAACAACACAACAUCAGAAUUAGAUAACUGCAAGCUGAAUGUAUAUUUGCUAUGUAUCUGUAAACUUUAUCACUAAAAUAAAAAUGUAUUAAUUUGACAUGUAUUAUG